GGGAGGAGCGGCUGCGGUCGCUAGCCCAGCCCUGGGGGCGCCGCCCGGGCGGGUACCUGCUGGGUGCUGAAGUCCCAUCCUAGGCUGCAAAUGCAGAAGCUAUUCAUGGGUCCAAUCUCAUCACUACUUUGGACUGAAGCUUUAACUUUCCUGGGUCUGACCAUAUUGGUUCCAGAAAGUGCUGAAACCCAAUGGGCUUAGGCCUCUAUGGCUCAGAAAUACUAAGCUCAAGAGAUCCUCCAGUCUCAACCUCCCUGGUCAUUGAGAUUAUAGGUGUGCACUACAAAGUCCAACAACCUCGUUUUACAGAUAAAUGUGAACGCUCCCAUGAUGCAGCAGCUGGAAGGAGUGUGUGUGUGUGUGUGUACUCACAAAUACAUAAUAAGGGAGAUCUGUGAUCUCAUGGGUGUAAGCAGCCCUGUAGAUGGAAUGCUGAUCUUGGGAGGCAGCGGAAGCAAAGAGGUCACUAAACAGGUUUUGGGGAAGAAGUUCCUCAAUUUAAACAGAAGAGUACCUGAGACAGCGUCAGCCAUAUGGAGAAGCUGAGGACCCUGCCUCUGAGAGACAGAUGAUAACAUGGAAUAAAAGUGCCUUGGACAGAAUGUGGAGUAUUCAUAGACGUUCUGAACUGGUUCUGGUCUGCUGACCAUGUGGUUAAGAGGAAUCUUUUUAAUCUGUCUGUGUAACCAGAACCUGGAAUAUCUUCACAAAAGAUGAGUCAGUCUUGGUCUUUUACCUUUGGUCACUGUUUCUUGGCCUUAUCAGAGUCUAGAGAGAGACAAUUCUAAAGGGAGAAAGGCCUGGAGGUCUUCUCCCUCUCCAGGUCAUUCUAAUCAUCAGGCACCUAACAAUAAGAGAAAAUAACCAAUGGGGGUUCAAGUAGAUGGCAGUAAAACAGAGACAUCCACAAUCCCUUGGGUUACCCUAGAAUCCUAAGAAAAAGAGGUUAAGGGGGCAGCUAGGUGGCAUGGUGGAUAGAGCACCGGCCCUGGAUUUAAGAGGACGUGAGUUCAAAU